GCGAGGCGGCAGCCGCCGCGGCCGGAGGCGGAUUCCUCAGAUAGGCGACUAGACCGCUUUCCUGGAUUGCCCACACUCUGAAAGAAGCAGCCCCAGGAUGGAUGUGGUGGAAGAGUCUAGGUAAUACACUCUGUUACUCUGACUUUGAGACUAAAGAACAAAAUUCCAUAAGAUUCCCGAUCUCCUAUAAAAAAUUUCUUAUAUAUGAAGAAAAAUAAUUAGAUCAUCGGACAUUGCAUCUGCAACAUUACAAGAAGGAAUAUUUAUAGGACUAUAUUUUGAAGGAAAACCACAUCAGUUUGAAUUCAAAACAAAGCUAUAGUACUGUUGUCUCC